ACUGAAACAUCUAAGUACCCGGAGGAGAAGAAAACAAAAGUGAUUCCGCUAGUAGCGGCGAGCGAACGCGGAUUAGCCCAAACCACAGUUGUUACGGCAAUUGUGGGGUUGUAGGACCACGCUAUUCGAUGCUAAACGAACUAGAAUCUACUGGAAAGUAGGACCAAAGAGGGUGAUAGUCCCGUAUAGGUAAGUUGAGUUAUUGAUAGUGGUAUCCUGAGUAGUGCGGGGCACGUGAAACCCUGCAUGAAUUUGCCGGGACCAUCCGGUAAGGCUAAAUACUCCUGAGAGACCGAUAGUGAACCAGUACCGUGAGGGAAAGGUGAAAAGAACCCUGAAUAAGGGAGUGAAAUAGAUCCUGAAACCAUACGCUUACAAGCGGUCGGAGCAGACAUGAUCUGUGACGGCGUGCCUUUUGCAUAAUGAGCCUACGAGUUACCGUUGCUAGCAAGGUUAAUCGAUUCAGUCGAGGAUCCGUAGCGAAAGCGAGUCUGAAUAGGGCGUAUAGUUAGUAGUGGUAGACGCGAAGCCGUGUGAUCUACCCAUGAGCAGGUUGAAGCUUUGUUAACCCAAAGUGGAGGACCGAACCCGUUGACGUUGAAAAGUCUUGGGAUGACUUGUGGGUAGGGGUGAAAGGCCAAUCAAACUCGGAAAUAGCUCGUACUCCCCGAAAUGCAUUUAGGUGCAGCGUAUUAUUAGUUUUAUAGAGGUAGAGCUACUGAUUGGAUGCGGGG
rnacentral:rRNA from 1 species